rnacentral:rRNA from 1 species
AACGAACGCUGGCGGCAUGCCUAACACAUGCAAGUCGAACGAAGGCUUCGGCCUUAGUGGCGCACGGGUGCGUAACGCGUGGGAAUCUGCCCUUGGGUUCGGAAUAACAGUUAGAAAUGACUGCUAAUACCGGAUGAUGUCGUAAGACCAAAGAUUUAUCGCCCAGGGAUGAGCCCGCGUAAGAUUAGGUAGUUGGUGGGGUAAAGGCCUACCAAGCCGACGAUCUUUAGCUGGUCUGAGAGGAUGAUCAGCCACACUGGGACUGAGACACGGCCCAGACUCCUACGGGAGGCAGCAGUGGGGAAUAUUGGACAAUGGGCGAAAGCCUGAUCCAGCAAUGCCGCGUGAGUGAUGAAGGCCUUAGGGUUGUAAAGCUCUUUUACCAGGGAUGAUAAUGACAGUACCUGGAGAAUAAGCUCCGGCUAACUCCGCG